GACGAACGCUGGCGGCGUGCUUAACACAUGCAAGUCGAACGGAAAGGCCCGGCUUUUGUGGGGUGCUCGAGUGGCGAAGGGGGGAGUAACACGCGAGUAAACUGCCCCUGAAUUUGGGAUAACUUUAGGAAAAUCGGGAUCAUAUCGGAUAGGAGCUCUUGCUGCAUGGUGGGGGUUGGAGAGAUUCGGCCGUUGGGGAUGGACUAGAGGCUUAUCAGCUUGUUGGUGGGGUAGUGGCUUCCGAAGGCUUUGACGGGUAGCCGGCAUGGGCGGUUGACCAGCCACAAUGGGACUGAGAGAGGCACCAGUCGCCAACGGGAGGCAGCAGUGGGAAAUAUUGCACAGUGGGCGGAAGUCAGAUGCGGCAGCCCCGCGUGCGGGAUGACGGCCUUCGAGUUGAAAACCGCUGUCGCCUUUGACGAAGCGGGAUUGACGGUAAUGGAUAAAGAAGCACCGGCUAACUACGUG
rnacentral:rRNA from 1 species